GAGACAGCAGUCGCCGCGGUAACACGUAGGGUGCAAGCGUUAAUCGGAAUUACUGGGCGUAAAGCGUGCGUAGGCGGUUUGUUAAGUCUGCUGUGAAAUCCCCGGGCUCAACCUGGGAAUGGCAGUGGAUACUGGCAAGCUAGAGUGUGUCAGAGGAUGGUGGAAUUCCCGGUGUAGCGGUGAAAUGCGUAGAGAUCGGGAGGAACAUCAGUGGCGAAGGCGGCCAUCUGGGACAACACUGACGCUGAGGCACGAAAGCGUGGGGAGCAAACAGGAUUAGAUACCCCCGUAGUCCCUGUCUCUUUACA
rnacentral:rRNA from 1 species